rnacentral:sRNA from 1 species
ACUAAGGUUCGACUCGAGCGCCAGCGAGAGAACGUUGCCGCAGGCAACGGCCCGAAGGGCGAGGCGCUUUAGCGCCGAGUAAUCCUUCCCCCACCACCA